ACGAUGGCAAACACUGGGGUCCGGAGGGACCCCGAACCGCCGGAGGAAACAACUCUCAACUUUAGAUCAUCAUCAUCAUCAUCAUCAUCAUCAUCAUCGUCGUCGUCUCCUUCUCGGCAGUGUUCGCGUAAAUGGCCCUAAGUGAGGACCUCGGACUCUCUUUGCCUCCUAGUCCUGCGACCUCCUUCUGCUCCGUUCUCCUGCUCCUCGCAGGUGAGCGCUUUGCCGGAUGGGCCUUGGGUUACGCGUAAAUGGGCCUGAGUGAGGACCUCGGGCUCUCCGUUGCUCCUCGUCUGCCUUGCUGCUUCUCCAUCGUUCUCCUGCGCCUCGCUAGUGAAAGAGCAGCUGUUUGGUCUGCCUAUUACGCGAACACCGCCCUCCGUUUGGACCUCGGGCUCUCCGUGCCUCCUCGUCCUCCUUGCUCCCUCUACAUCCUUGUCCCGCUCCUCGCUAGAGUACGCUUAGGUUUGCAGAGGGUGGGUUUCGCGAACACCCUCUUCGGUGAAGACCUUGGGAUCUCCGUUGCUCCCCGUCUUCCUUGCCCCUUCUACAUUACUCUCAAGUGCCUCGCUAGUGAAAGAGCAGCUGUUUGGCCUGCCUAUUACGCGAACACCGCCCUCCGUUUGGACCUCGGGCUCUCCGUGCCUCCUCGUCCUCCUUGCUCCCUCUACAUCCUUGUCCCGCUCCUCGCUAGAGUACGCUUAGGUUUGCAGAGGGUGGGUUUCGCGAACACCCUCUUCGGUGAAGACCUUGGGAUCUCCGUUGCUCCCCGUCUUCCUUGCCCCUUCUACAUUACUCUCAAGUGCCUCGCUAGUGAAAGAGCAGCUGUUUGGCCUGCCUAUUACGCGAACACCAUCCUCCGUUUGGACUUCAGACACUCCUUGCCUCCUCCUCAUCCUUGCUCCCUCUACAUCAUUCAGAUGCUCCUCGCUAGCGUACGCUUAGGUCUCCGGAGGGCCGGUUUCGCGAACACCCCCCUUCGGUGAGGACCUCGGGCUUUCCGUGCCUCCGUGUCCUCCUUGCUUUCUCUCCAUCAUUCUCAAGUGCCUCGCUAGUGAAAGCGCAGCUGUUUGGCCUGCCCAUUACGCGAACACCGCCCUCUGUUUAUGCUCCUCGCUAGCAUACGCUUAUGUCUGCGGAGGGCCGGUUUCGCGAACACCCCCUUCGGUGAGGACCUCGGGAUCUCCGUUGCUCCGCGUCCUCCUUGCUCCUUCUCCUUCGUUCUCAUGCGCCUCGCUAGUGAAAGAGAAGCUGUUUGGCCUGCCUAGUACACGAACACCGCCCUCGGUUUAUGCUCCUCGCGAGAGUAGGCUGAGGUCUGCGGAGGGCCUAUUACGCGAACACCGCCCUCCAGUUGGACCUCGGGCUCUCCGUUGCUCCUCGUCCUCCUUGCUCCCUCUACAUCCUUCUCAAGCGCCUCGCUAGUGAAAGCGCAGCUGUUUGGCCUGCCCAUUACGCGAACACCGCCCUCCGUUUAUGCUCCUCACGAGCGUACGCUUAGGUCUGCGGAUGGCCGGUUUCGCGAACACCGCCCUCCAGUUGGAUCUCGGGCUCUCCGUUGCUCCUCGUCCUCCUCGCUCCCUCUACAUCGUUCUCAAGCGCCUCGCUAGUAAAAGAGAAGCUGUUUGGCCUGCCCAUUACGCGAACACCGCCCUCCGUUUAUGCUCCUCGCUAGCGUACGCUUAUGUCUGCGGAGGGCCGGUUUCUUGAACACCGCCAUCGGUGAGGACCUCUGGAUCUCCUUUGUUCCUCGUCCUCCCUGCUCCCUCUCCUUUGUUCUCAUGCGCCUCGCUAGUGAAAGAGAAGCUGUUUGGCCUGCCUAUUACGCGAACACUGCCCUCCAGUUGGACCUCGGGCUCUCCAUGCCUCCUCGUCCUCCUCGCUCCCUCUACAUCGUUCCCCUGCACCUCGCUAG
ensembl:lncRNA